UACCCACAUGAAGAAGUAGGACAAAUACCAAUGGCAUUUGUGGUGAGACAACCUGGAAGCAAACUCAGUGAAGCAGAAAUUAUUGAUUUUGUUGCAAAGAAGGUCGCACCAUAUAAGAAAAUACGUAAAGUUGCAUUUGUUGACUCGAUACCGAAGUCAGCAGCUGGAAAGAUUUUGAGGAGGGAAUUGUGCAAACAUGCACUUUCUAGCUCUCUAUCUAGAUUAUGAUGCAUGUUUCAUGUUUAAAUCAUGAUGUCUUUAGUGUCAUUAUGUCCUUUAAACUAUGAGUUUCAAGCAUAGCGGUAGUGCAAUAUUCCAGCACUUGCU